rnacentral:rRNA from 1 species
UACGGAGGAGGCAAGCGUUAUCCGGAAUUAUUGGGCGUAAAGCGUCCGCAGGUGGCGAUUCAAGUCUGCGGUCAAAGACUGGGGCUUAACCCUGGAAAGGCCGUGGAAACUGAAUAGCUAGAGUGCAGUAGGGGUAGAGGGAAUUCCCAGUGUAGCGGUGAAAUGCGUAGAUAUUGGGAAGAACACCAGCGGCGAAAGCGCUCUACUGGGCCGCAACUGACACUCAUGGACGAAAGCUAGGGGAGCGAAAGGG